rnacentral:rRNA from 1 species
UGGGUGGCCUGCCUUCAGCUCUGGGAUAAGCCUGGGAAACUGGGUCUAAUACCGGAUAUUCACUUCCUGUCGCAUGGUGGGUGGUGGAAAGUUUUUCGGUCUGGGAUGGGCUCGCGGCCUAUCAGCUUGUUGGUGGGGUGAUGGCUCACCAAGGCGACGACGGGUAGCCGGCCUGAGAGGGUGACCGGCCACACUGGGACUGAGACACGGCCCAGACUCCUACGGGAG